AUGGCAUUGCCCGGUAGCUAAGUGCGGAAGAGAUAACCGCUGAAAGCAUCUAAGCGGGAAACUUGCCUUGAGAUGAGUCUUCCCUGACUCUUUAAGAGUCCUAAAGGAACGUUUAAGACUAAGACGUUGAUAGGUUGGGUGUGUAAGCGUAGCGAUACGUUGAGCUAACCAAUACUAAUGAACCGUGAGGCUUAACCUG
rnacentral:rRNA from 1 species